GAUGAACGCUGGCGGCGUGCUUAACACAUGCAAGUCGAACGGGAAACCUUUUAGUGAAGCUUCGGCAGAUUUAGCUGGGUUCUAGUGGCGGACGGGUGAGUAACGCGUGGUUAACCUGCCUUAUACAGGGGGAUAACAGUCAGAAAUGACUGCUAAUACCGCAUAAGCGCACAGAACCGCAUGGUCCGGUUUGAAAAACUCCGGUGGUAUAAGAUGGACCCGCGUUGGAUUAGCUUGUUGGUGGGGUAACGGCUCACCAAGGCGACGAUCCAUAGCCGGCCUGAGAGGGUGGACGGCCACAUUGGGAGUGAGAAGCGGCACAGAAUCCUACGGGAGGCAGCAAUGGGGAAUAUUGCAAAAUCGCGGGAAUGAUGAUGGAGCGAGGACGCGAGAAGGCUGAAGUAUGUCGGUAAGUAAAGUUCUAUCAGCAGGGAAGAUAGUGACGGUACCUGACGAAGAAGCCCCGGCUAACUACGUG
rnacentral:rRNA from 1 species